UACGAAGGGGGCUAGCGUUGUUCGGAAUUACUGGGCGUAAAGCGCACGUAGGCGGAUUGUUAAGUUAGGGUGAAAUCCCAGGCUCAACCCUGGAACUGCCUUUAAUACUGGCAAUCUCGAGUCCGAGAGAGGUGAGUGGAAUUCCGAGUGUAGAGGUGAAAUUCGUAGAUAUUCGGAGGAACACCAGUGGCGAAGGCGGACUCACUGGCUCGGUACUGACGCUGAGGUGCGAAAGCGUGGGAGCAACAGG
rnacentral:rRNA from 1 species